UCCGGUUUUUCACCGGCAGUCCCUCUAGAGUGCUCACCAUAACGUGUUAGCAACUAAAGGCAGGGGUUGCGCUCGUUAAGGGACUUAACCCGACACUUCACAGCACGAGCUGACGACAGCCAUGCAGCACCUGUGCUUGUUCCACCCUUGCGGGUGUGGCUCCUGUUUCCAGGAGUUAAUCCAAGCAUGUCAAACCCAGGUAAGGUUCUUCGCGUUGCUUCGAAUUAAACCACAUGCUCCACCGCUUGUGCAGGCCCCCGUCAAUUUCUUUGAGUUUUAAUCUUGCGACCGUACUUCCCAGGCGGCGCAUUUAUCGCGUUAGCUUCGCCACAAACGGGGUCGAUUCCGUUUACAGCAAAUGCGCACCGUUUACAGCCAAGACUAC
rnacentral:misc_RNA from 1 species